UGAUAAUUACAUUCAUGCAUAUUAUUCAUAUUUCAUCAUCAACAUCAUCAUCAUCAUCAUCCUAUAUUCCAUAUUUUACAUGUACAUAUUUAGAAACAGACUAAUAUCCCUAUAACUCCCUGUCUUUUAUGCAUCUAUCAAGUAAUCAUUACUUAAUUACCUUUUCUAGUGGCUUCUGAUAUUUUAUAGCCCCAAGUCAUUUCACCUGUAUGGUCACUUACAUACAUGUGGACAAGAUCAGGUGGUUUACUUAGCCAAUAGUAUGUUUUUAUGAUUUUUUCCCGCUUUAAAUGAGUAGCCUUUGUGACAGACCAAGGCUAGGAUUCUUAUCAGUAAGACCUGAUUUCUUUAAGAGAUGAUUUAACUUAUUUAUUUAUUUCAUCAACAUAUUUGAAGCAGUCAGUUAUAGUAAGUGUUCUAUUUUUUGGUAUUCUUGAACUUUAAUAAAUAAUUUAAUAGAUAAUAAUGAUAUUUUCUGUUAAUUGGUACAUUUGGCUAAUUCUACUUUUUGAGGUUAUAAUACCUUAUUUAUGAAAGAAUGUAUUUUAUAAAUUAUCCCAGUAAUUCAUAGUUUUGAUAUCUAAGCUAUAGUAUCUCAUUUCUAAUAUAUGUGAAAGGUUAGUUAUUGUUACCAUACUUAAUACUUGUAGUUAGAGACUACCAUUGUCAGAGUAAUCUGCAGGAUUGUGCAUGAAACCUUGUUCCAUAAACAGGGUUUAAAUCCUUUAAUCCUAUCCAUGUAUCCGAAUAAAUGAACGAAGAACCC